GCUCCCAUGGCGUAGUGGUCACUGCACUUGCCUUGCACGCGGGAGACCCGGGUUCGAUUCCCGGCGGGGUCA
rfam:Asian citrus Psyllid, Diaphorina citri - Florida Strain, whole genome shotgun sequence.